rnacentral:rRNA from 1 species
UACAUGGGGUGCAACCGUUGCUCGGAAUCAUUGGGCGUAAAGCGCGCGUAGGCGGUUGCUUAAGUCGGAUGUGAAAGCCCUCGGCUUAACUGAGGAAGUGCAUCCGAAACUGAGCAGCUAGAGUACGAAAGAGGGUCGCGGAAUUCCCGGUGUAGAGGUGAAAUUCGUAGAUAUUGGGAAGAACACCGGUGGCGAAGGCGGCGACCUGGUCCAUUACUGACGCUGAGGCGCGAAAGCGUGGGGAGCAAACAGG